AUUUAAAUUGCUUUUAAAGAGCAUUACAUUGAAGAUGUAAGGGUGAUUGUUAUAAUCUUUAAAUA
rnacentral:tRNA from 1 species